rnacentral:siRNA from 1 species
CAACAACCUUUAUUGUCUCA